rnacentral:piRNA from 1 species
UACAUAAAGGCAUCUCCUGUUUCGAUGGU